CUCGCUGAUAAAGAGUCCGCACCGUCCCUCGUUUCUGUCCUCUUUCCGCCUCACUCUUCUCCAAUGGCUUCAGCAAUGACGGAGGACUCCAGUUUUGAAGACGAUCAACUGGCUUCUAUGACCACCGACGACAUCGUCAGGGCCUCUCGCCUCCUCGACAACGAGGUCCGGAUCCUCAAGGAUGAGUUGCAGAGGACGAAUCUCGAGUUGGAGUCCUUUAAGGAAAAGAUCAAGGAGAACCAGGAAAAAAUCAAACUAAACAAGCAACUCCCUUACCUCGUUGGUAACAUCGUCGAGAUUUUGGAGAUGAAUCCAGAAGAUGAGGCUGAGGAAGAUGGUGCAAAUGUUGAUCUAGACUCGCAGAGAAAGGGAAAAUGUGUGGUUCUAAAAACUUCUACACGACAAACUAUCUUCCUUCCCGUUGUUGGGUUAGUUGACCCUGAUAAGCUUAAGCCUGGAGAUUUGGUUGGGGUUAACAAGGACAGCUACCUAAUCUUGGACACCCUUCCUUCUGAAUAUGACUCACGAGUGAAGGCAAUGGAGGUUGAUGAAAAGCCAACUGAAGAUUACAAUGAUAUUGGUGGUCUCGAGAAGCAGAUCCAAGAACUAGUUGAAGCAAUUGUGCUGCCAAUGACGCACAAAGACCGGUUUCAGAAAUUAGGGAUUCGUCCACCUAAAGGGGUGCUUUUGUAUGGACCUCCUGGAACAGGGAAGACACUGAUGGCUCGUGCCUGUGCAGCGCAGACAAAUGCUACUUUUCUGAAGCUAGCAGGACCUCAACUUGUUCAGAUGUUUAUUGGUGAUGGUGCAAAACUUGUUCGUGAUGCCUUUCAGCUUGCGAAGGAAAAAUCUCCCUGUAUAAUUUUUAUAGAUGAGAUUGAUGCAAUCGGAACCAAGCGAUUUGAUAGUGAAGUAAGUGGAGAUAGGGAAGUGCAACGGACAAUGUUGGAAUUACUUAAUCAGCUUGAUGGUUUUAGCAGUGAUGAUCGAAUAAAGGUUAUAGCAGCAACAAAUCGUGCUGACAUUCUUGAUCCUGCUCUUAUGCGUUCUGGUCGUUUAGAUCGCAAAAUUGAGUUCCCUCAUCCAACUGAAGAAGCAAGAGCUCGGAUAUUGCAGAUCCACUCGAGGAAAAUGAAUGUACACCCUGAUGUCAACUUCGAAGAGCUGGCUCGAUCAACAGAUGAUUUCAAUGGGGCACAAUUGAAGGCAGUUUGUGUAGAAGCUGGCAUGCUCGCUCUGCGACGAGAUGCAACUGAGCAAGCAACAUGUGUGGUGGCACUGUGACAUGGCCUGUGGCUGGCACACCCCGUGCCACUGGCACUUGAAUCCAUGGCGGGGCGAACUUUUGUCUGUUUACCUCUAUGGUUCAAUGUGAUGCAUGAAGAUUUCAAUGAAGGGAUAAUCCAAGUCCAAGCCAAGAAGAAAGCCAGUUUGAAUUAUUAUGCUUAAUACUUAGCAUAUGAGCUUGUAAUGUAGUUGAAUUGAAGUUAUAUGCUGAAAAUAUUAAUUCUCAUUUUUCUCCAACACUCUUUGUUUAGAAUAUAUUUUAUCAAUAUAUCAUGAUGCAUCAGCAAAUGUUUUCUU